rnacentral:rRNA from 1 species
CCCUUAGAUGUUCUGGGCCGCACGCGUGCUACACUGAGUGGAUCAGCGGGUCAGGUUGCGCGAAAGUGUUUCCUAAUCUUUAAAUCCGCUCGUGAUGGGGAUUGACGGUUGCAAUUUUCCGUCAUGAACGAGGAAUACCUUGUAAGCGCGGGUCAUCAUCCCGCGCUGAAUACGUCCCUGCCCUUUGUACACACCGCCCGUCGCGCCUACCGAUUGAGUGGUCCGGUGAGGCUUUGGGAUCUGGGCGGAAAGAGCGUUUCGCUGUUUCUGCCCGGAAAACUCAGUCGAACCUUAUCAUUUAGAGGAAGGAGAAGUCGUAACA